rnacentral:rRNA from 1 species
UACGUAGGGUGCAAGCGUUAAUCGGAAUUACUGGGCGUAAAGCGUGCGCAGGCGGUCUUGCAAGACAGAUGUGAAAUCCCCGGGCUCAACCCUGGGAACUGCAUUUGUGACUGCAAGGCUAGAGUACGGUAGAGGGGGAUGGAAUUCCGCGUGUAGCAGUGAAAUGCGUAGAUAUGCGGAGGAACACCGAUGGCGAAGGCAAUCCCCUGGACCUGUACUGACGCUCAUGCACGAAAGCGUGGGGAGCAAACAGG